AUUCAACUUUUCCGUAUAAUGCAAAUCCAAAUGUUCGCAUUUGACGAAAGACCAGAAUUUCUAGUCCGCCUAAAUCGUCAAUUACCAGCAAACCACUUUUCUCUUUUUCCCCGCAUUUUACUCUCAUAAUUAUAGCUCUUUUGUUUUUAAUCCCCGUCGAGUUGUUAAUUUUUGCUUCAAAUUUCCCUUUCACUUUCCUCAUGCUUGGAAAUUUUUGGCCGAUUUUAGGUAUUAAACCUAAUCAUAUGUCACAAUUUGAUUAUCGUCCUACAAUACCAUCAAAUUUCCAAUUACCAUUUGAAGUUAGCACAAAUCAGGAACUGGGUUUUCUUUGUUUGAAUAUCAGAAGUUAUUUUUUUCACCCACCCCUUUCUCGUUUAUCUCAUGUUUUGCCUUUGUUAAAUCCCUCAAUUUGGUUAAUGUAUCUCUUCCUUCUAGGUGGGGUAUCGAGAAAUCAGCCUGAAAGUUUUUGUUUUAUUCAUAUUAAGCAAAAUUCUUGUAAUGGAACAAGUUGGUGAAGGAAGAGACAAGAUUUUGUUGUCAUCAAUCUGAACAGAAAGUAGUUAAAAGGAUGAGGAAUGUUGUGAGAAAAUACGUUGUUACGCGUUGUAUGAUGAUCAAAUAUUUUUGAUAAGAAAAUUUGACCAAUCUUCUUUACGUUGAACUUUAUUUAAACAGGGUACGUAGAAGAAAGAAUGCAUUGUUUUGUAUCAAAGCCGUGUCAUGAGAGUGUGGCUCGCGUGUGUGAAGUUCAAGGAAAGAUGGCGUUCUUGUAUUAUAUGGCUGAAUAAUGGUGUCCGUACGGUAUUGUUCGUUCAUCACAGGUGUGCUGCUAAACAACCCACCCAUAUUAAAAGUCCCGAAUUGAGGGCCAAACCGUCCCUCUGACAUCAGCGGUUUGCGAAAGAUCUUGGUAAUAGUACUAAUUCUGGUCUUUCUAUUGGAUGUCAAAACCUUUGAAACUUCCUGCUUGGAUGAUCCUCUUUAAUCAGAAGCGGUACCUGCCCUUAGUUUUUAGUAGAUUGGAGUGUCCAAAUACAAUUUGGACUACUUGUUUACAUUUGACCAUGGAAAGGAAAUGAGGCUAAGAUCACCUGAAAUGUCUCUAAAGGCUUCUAGUAACAAUUUGAACGAUAAGAACAAAAAGUUUGCUUACUGGAAAAUAAAAGCUACAUUUGAUAAACUCAAAAUCCUAGUGGUAAAUGACACCAAAGUCAGUACUACUUGCUUAAGUCAAUGUAUAUCUCUCUCCAAGCCACCAAUAAAUAAGAUGAGAAUUAUAUGAUGUGGACCAAUCCUAAUAUGAAUUGUUGAUGAACACAUAGAGUUGACUUUUUUUAGAGCCUCUCUUUGACUUCAGUUUUUGCCUCACCCACCCCUAAGCAUCGAACGCAAGCAACACGAUGAUAUCAGUAGCCUAUUGUAUUUAUACAAACCGACUGUGAGUUUUAUUGAUGUUUGGUCAUUUUUUAUAGGAGAGUUUUCCUUGUAACGGUUGGAAAGAGGUUAAGAAGAAAAAAAUGAUGAAAGAGAGAGAGAGAGAGAGGGAGAUGUGAGAGAGAAGAUACACAGUUGAGAAAAGGAGGUAUUGAUUGAAGCAGUUUAUGUGGUCAUACACAUUGAUAGGCAAUAAAUGACUAAACUACUGAGUUUACUUUUUGUCUUUGGCUUUUCAUUUUUCUUUUCUACUCCCAACGUGUCACUACUUGCUUCAAAUUCCCUCUAUUUGUUACUAUUUCUUUCUUGCAUUCAUCCUCCAAUGUUGUUUGUUUCUUUGUAUUGGAAACUUCCCCUUUAAUUAAUAUUCAAAUAUUCAAUUGGUAAGUU